rnacentral:rRNA from 1 species
GUGUCAGCAGCCGCGGUAAUACGUAGGAUGCGAGCGUUGUCCGGAAUUAUUGGGCGUAAAGAGAACGUAGGUGGCCUUUUAAGUUCGGUCUUAAAGACCGGGGCUCAACCCCGGGAAUGGACUGAAAACUGGGAGGCUAGAGGAUGUCAGAGGAUGGUGGAAUUCCCAGUGUAGCGGUGAAAUGCGUAGAUAUUGGGAGGAACACCUGUGGCGAAAGCGGCCAUCUGGGGCAUUCCUGACACUGAGGUUCGAAAGCUCGGGGAGCAAACAGGAUUAGAAACCCUCGUAGUCC